rnacentral:rRNA from 1 species
AGGACGAACGCUGGCGGCGUGCUUAACACAUGCAAGUGGAGCGACGAACCGGGGCUUGCCCCGGGGCAGAGCCGCGAACGGGUGAGUAACACGUGGGUAACCUACCCCGAUGACCGGGACAACCCGAGGAAACUCGGGCUAAUACCGGAUGUGCUCCUUGACUUCAAGGUCAAGGCGCAAAGAUAGCUUCGGCCUUCGCAUCGGGACGGGCCCGCGGCCCAUUAGCUUGUUGGUGGGUAACGCCUACCAAGGCGACGAUGGGUAGCUGGUCUGAGAGGACGAUCAGCCACACUGGGACUGAGACACGGCCCAGACUCCUACGGGAGGCAGCAGUGGGAAUCUUGCGCAAUGCGCGAAAGCGUGACGCAGCAACGCCGCGUGGGGGAAGACGGCCUCGGUGUAACCGCUGUCAGUGGGGACGAACGGCGGU